GCAAUCUACCUAUUACAGUGGGAUAGCCCGGAGAAAUUCGGAUUAAUACCGCAUGAAACUAAGAGGAGGCAUCUUUUUCUAGUUAAAAUUUUAAUGGUAAUAGAAGAGCAUGCGGCUGAUUAGCUAGUUGGUAGUGUAAUGGACUACCAAGGCAACGAUCAGUAGGGGUUCUGAGAGGAAGGUCC
rnacentral:rRNA from 1 species